GUCCUUGUGGAGCAUGGUAGCCCGCUCCUACACAAUCAGCUGGGAACAUAUUGCCAUGUGGGAGAGCCGGUGGUUCGAAUCCACCCGAGGACA